rnacentral:rRNA from 1 species
GACGAACGCUGGCGGCGUGCUUAACACAUGCAAGUCGAACGGAAAGGCCCUGCUUUUGUGGGGUGCUCGAGUGGCGAACGGGUGAGUAACACGUGAGUAACCUGCCCUUGACUUUGGGAUAACUUCAGGAAACUGGGGCUAAUACCGGAUAGGAGCUCCUGCUGCAUGGUGGGGGUUGGAAAGUUUCGGCGGUUGGGGAUGGACUCGCGGCUUAUCAGCUUGCUGGUGGGGUAGUGGCUUACCAAGGCUUUGACGGGUAGCCGGCCUGAGAGGGUGACCGGCCACAUUGGGACUGAGAUACGGCCCAGACUCCUACGGGAGGCAGCAGUGGGGAAUAUUGCACAAUGGGCGGAAGCCUGAUGCAGCAACGCCGCGUGCGGGAUGACGGCCUUCGGGCUGUAAACCGCUUUCGCCUGUGACGAAGCGUGAGUGACGGUAAUGGGUAAAGAAGCACCGGCUAACUACGUG